rnacentral:rRNA from 1 species
AUUGAACGCUGGCGGCAUGCUUUACACAUGCAAGUCGAACGGGCUUGGGGGCUUGCUCCCAAGUUAGUGGCGAACGGGUGAGUAAUACAUCGGAACGUACCGUGUAGUGGGGGAUAACGUAGCGAAAGUUACGCUAAUACCGCAUACGAUCUACGGAUGAAAGCAGGGGACCUUCGGGCCUUGUGCUAUACGAGCGGCCGAUGUCUGAUUAGCCAGUUGGUGAGGUAAGGCUCACCAAGGCGACGAUCAGUAGCGGGUCUGAGAGGAUGGUCAGCCACACUGGGACUGAGACACGGCCCAGACUCCUACGGGAGGCAGCAGUGGGGAAUAUUGGACAAUGGGCGCAAGCCUGAUCCAGCAAUGCCGCGUGGGUGAAGAAGGCCUGCGGGUUGUAAAGCCCUUUAAGCGGGAGGAAGCCGGGGUGUGAAUAGCGCCCUGGGGUGACGUUACCCGCAGAAUAAGCACCGGCUAACUCCGUGCCAGCAGCCGCGGUAAU